rnacentral:snoRNA from 1 species
CGCAGCUGCAUCAAAUCCAGUCCUCGCCCAGCCCGUGCUGGGGACUGGCCGAGCCACUGCCACAGCAGUGUCUGCAGUUUGGGAGCCCCUCUGUCCCCCCCUCCACCCUGGGGCUCUAUAAAUGCCACAGACACCG